UAGAGGUAGAGAACCAGGGAAGGAGAGC
rnacentral:piRNA from 1 species